UUUUAAUGUGUCGUUUGAAUGAAAAAUUACAAUUUAUAAACAAUGAUCACUGAAAAAUGACAGACAUCUUACUUUAAAAUUUUUAAUUAUUUAAUGAAACAAUUUUAUGUAAUUCGAUGUUUGUAACAUGAUUUUGAGCUAUUUUCUUAAAUCAUUGGAAGAAAAACAGACUAGACAUAGACAUUCGAUUUUUCAGUGGCGAAAGGAUGAUGACGUCAUCAAUUGUUGUGCAAAUUCUGUAUGUACUUUGGAUGGCAAGAAUGGUUCUCGGCGAAACGUACACGGCCGAAUGUGACCACGAGACUAUGACAGUACGAGCGGGAUUCCGGGAACACCCGUCAUACUGCAGUAAAUUUAUCCAGUGCCUUCUUAACAAAGACGGCCAGCUUGUUAGCAUUGUGCGAGACUGUGGUUAUGGGACAUAUUGGAACCAACAUUUUCUGACAUGUAUAUUAGCAACACGCACUGUCUGUAAACAUGAUUUGUGUUAUCAACAGCCAGACGGAAAGCAAAGAAAAGGAUAUGGAAAUUGUAGAGGUUUCUACGAGUGCCAGGGAAGUUUGUCCAUACCAAGGUGUUGUCCUCUUGGACAAUAUUUUCAUGACAGGCUCGUAUGUGUAAACAAUACGGCAGAUAUCGCGUGUAAUCAACAUUGCUUGGACAUAAUUCUAUACACACAUUCAAAUGAACCAUUUAAAGGUACAUUGAAUGAACUGUCUCAUAGCCAAAGGAAAACAAUUCUUUCAGAAUGGCAAGUUAGUUCGGGUGUUAAUCAGCAAACACCCGUAGACAUACCAUUAGAAAGAAAUGUCAAUGCAAAACCAAUCUGUGACAAGACCGGCAUACCAGAAAACCCUGGGAUGUAUAAACAGACGCUAUAUGGUGAAAGGUAGGUUGUAGAAGGACGCUGUCCGAUUGGAACAAUAUUUGUACAAGCUGUUUGCAACUGUGUUUCUAUUUGGAAUCAAACAAAAAUACCUAAAUCCAAUGGGGGUGUACUAAUCAUGACCCAAAUAACGAUGUGUACACCAAAAAUCUACCUGCCAUUUACGCUCGACGAAAGAGAUCGAUCCGGCAACGCUUAUGAAAUUAUCAACCACAAUGUAACAGUGCGAAAUGGUAAAGCCAUUUUCGAUGGAAAAGAAAAUUAUUUCAUGAUUCCAAUAUUCUCAAGAUUAGAUAUUACAAAUAGUUUAGUGAUUAAGGUUAUCUACAGUUCCGACCAUGAGUCGAUUCCAAGCAAUCGUUUGAGGACAAUAUUCUCGAAUGACGGAUGCAACGAAGCGCCAAGCGUUUACAUGUAUGAGAAUUGGGAACACAUUAUCGGUGGUGUCGGUACAGAGCCAUAUGCAGACAUGUCAAAAGACGCUCGUAUUUUUCAACGUCCGAACCCACCAGGCCAAAAAAGUUCCACAAAAGAGGUCAUGUUUAUGUUUCAUGGUGGGGAAUUUACGAUCAAGAAUGGAAAUCGGUCCCAAACUAUUCCGGGCAAAGGAAAUUUAAACAAGUUAGAAUGUCCUCUCAAAAUUGGUUACGGUGCUGAUAUCCUGCCAUUUAAAGGAGAAAUCGACGAGUUCACUGUUUAUAUGUGUCAAAACGUUAAAAGAUUCAUAUCUUAAUAAUUGGACCUUAGUAGUCUUUUUCGAAAAACAUUUAAUUGCUGGAAGUAGAUUGUGUAUUUUUAUUUUAAAUGAGUUAGAACUGCUUAUGUUAAAUAUUUGACAAUAACCUUUUCACCCCUGUUAUAAUGCGAUUCUGCAUGGCCAAUUAUGACGUUUUAACAAGAACCGUUAGUCGUUUUAACGAGUAACUUAGUCGUCUAAACGAGAUACAUUAGCCUAUAAACGAGAUACUACGUCGUUUCAACGAAAUACAUUAGUCGUUAGA